UUGCAGUUUUAUGAUAAAAACAGAGUGUUUUCAGAGGAUAGAUGUUUGUUCUCAGUGCAGGAGGUUUUUGUACGGCCGCUUAAUGAGUUUGUAUCACUGUGGUACACUUUUGGUGGAGGAACCAAACUCAUCGUUGACUUGGGUGUGGUGCGGCCCACCCUGAGCGUCCUCCCCCCCUCCAGAGAGCAGCUGCAGCAGGGCAGUGCCACACUGGUGUGUCUGGCCAGCGGGGGCUUCCCCUCAGCCUGGAGGCUGGGCUGGAAGGUGGGGGGCAGCAGCCUCUCCUCAGGGGAGUCACACAGCCUGGAGGCCCUGGGGAGGGACGGCCACUACAGCUGGAGCAGCACCCUGAUCCUCCCUGCAGACCAGUGGAGGAAGGCGGGCUCAGUGAGCUGUGAGGCCAGUCUGAAUGGACAGAGCCCUGUCACUCAAAGCCUGGACCCUGAGCGCUGCUCAGAGUAGAGCUUCAGCAACACUUCCUGUCUGGAAAUGAUGCUGCUUCUUUCAUAGAGAUCUUCAUCAAGCUACAGAUCUCCUCUCUUCACAUAUUUCUGCACGUUUCACAGCUCUCUGCUC